CAAACAUUAUCUCAUUUGAUUCUCACAACAACCCUGGGAGAUUUGUGAUUUUAUUGCUGUGGAGGAAGCCAAUGAGGAAAAUGCCCCACCCCCACAAUGCACUUUGUGUACUUUUUAAUAAAUUGAAGUUUUAGAAA